rnacentral:lncRNA from 1 species
UUCCAUCAGAUCUAGAUCUGCAUCUGCCCCUUUCUCUCAAUUCAACUUAAAUUUCUCAAAUCAUCACCAAAUUUCUCAAAUCAAACACUCAUUCUUCUCCUUCUACCGAGCAAUCUUUCCAUCUAGGGUUUUAAGAUCCGCAUCAUCAUCAGUUCGGUUUCACAAAUGGUGAGUCCCUUGAAAAGUUUUGAAUGAAAAGUCUAAGGGUUAGAUCUUGCCCGUAUAUUGGCGGGGCAACCCGGAUGGCGUGUGAGAUGCAACCACUGUUGCAGCCAUGACGGUGUCUGAGCCCUUUGUCUCAUCUUCAAAUUAUAGAUCUGAGCCUUAGUUCUCUUCAAUUUUGAAUCAUCAAAUGCUUUGUAACAAAAUGUGAAAGCCAAAUAGAAGCCAGCUGGACAGCACUGAAGGCUUGGA